rnacentral:rRNA from 1 species
CCUACGGGUGGCAGCAGUGAGGAAUAUUGGUCAAUGGGCGCGAGCCUGAACCAGCCAAGCAGCGUGAAGGAUGACUGCCCUAUGGGUUGUAAACUUCUUUUAUAAGGGAAUAAACGGAGGCACGUGUGCCUUUCUGUAUGUACUUUAUGAAUAAGGAUCGGCUAACUCCGUGCCAGCAGCCGCGGUAAUACGGAGGAUCCAAGCGUUAUCCGGAUUUAUUGGGUUUAAAGGGUGCGUAGGUGGGUUGUUAAGUCAGUGGUGAAAGCCUGCGGCUCAACUGUAGAAUUGCAAUUGAUACUGGUCGGCUUGAGUAUAGUUGCGGUAGGCGGAAUUUGUGGUGUAGCGGUGAAAUGCUUAGAGAUCACGCAGAACACCGAUUGCGAAGGCAGCCUACUAAACUGCCACUGACAUUGAUGCUCGAAAGCGUGGGUAUCAAACAGGAUUAGAUACCCCGGUAGUC